rnacentral:rRNA from 1 species
CUGCUCAAUGAAAAUUUAUUUAAAUAGCUGCAGUAUUUUGACUGUACAAAGGUAGCAUAAUCAUUUGUCUUUUUAUUAAAGUCUGGAAUGAAAGAUUGAAUGAAAUAAAAACUGUCUCAAAUUAAUUAUAUUAUUAAAAUUUAUUUUAAGUAAAAAUUCUUAAAUUUUAUAAAAAGACGAGAAGACCCUAUAGAAUUUUAUAAAUAAUUAAUAUUAUUUAUAAUAAAUAAUAAAUAAUAUUAAUUUAUUUAUUUUGUUGGGGUGACAAAAAAAUUAAUUUAAUUUUUUUAAUAUAUUUACAUUAUAAAUGAUUAUAUUAUCCAAUAUUAUUGAAUAUAUAUUAAAUUACCUUAGGGAUAACAGCGUUAAAUUUUUAGAGAGUUCAUAUUGAUAAAAAUUAUUGCGACCUCGAUGUUGAAUUAAAAUAAAUUAUUAUUGAAGAAAAUAAUAC